GUGUAAAAAUGACACCAACCCAUAAAGGUCAGCGAUGGGGGUUACUCAGCAUGCCUGUUGAUGAGGAAGUAGAGAGCCUUCACCUCAGGUUCUUAGCUACACCUCCAAAUGGCAACUUUGCAGAUGCUGUAUUCAGGUUCAAUGCUAAUAUUUCAUACAGUGGAGUCCUGCAUGCAGUAACACAAGAUGGUCUCUUCUCAGAAAACAAAGAAAAACUGAUCAAUAAUGCCAUAACAGCAUUAUUGUCCCAAGAAGGGGAUGUCGUUGCUUCAAAUGCGGAACUUGAGAGUCAGUUCCAGGCCGUGAGGAGGCUUGUGGCAUCCAAAGCUGGUUUCCUAGCUUUCACUCAGCUUCCAAAGUUUCGCGAGCGUCUAGGGGUGAAGGUAGUAAAAGCACUCAAAAGGAGCAACAACGGAGUAAUCCAUGCAGCAGUUGAUAUGCUUUGUGCCCUUAUGUGUGUAAGUAGUAGUUUUCUUAAGGAAACUGGUUUUUCUUAAGCUGACUGGUGGUUUUGAUUUCCACAAUCCCAGAUUUUCAUUGUACCAAUAAGUUCUUGUUUCUGUUUCUUAAAUUGUUCUCAUAGUUACUCAAACCUUUGUUUAGCAUAUCCUAAAUACCAGGCAGUGUGCUGGGUGCCAGAAAUUCAAAGAUCUUAAGACAGAAGUUCUUUUCUUCCUUCACUUUGUUGACAGUCUGGUAAGGUAGGCAUAUCUGUACAACGUAAGGUAGUAGGGGCCAUAGGAUCUUGAAAAGCAGCACUUUAUUUUUGUUUGGUGAUGAGGGGAAGAUGAAAGAUUCUCACCCAGUCUUUCUGGAAGAUGUUACAUUUGAUCUGAAUCUUGAAGGACAGGCAGGAAUUUUCUAGCUCUGGAAAGGCCUUCCUGGGGUGGGGGGGAAUAGCAUAUAAAAAGGCAUGUUUGGAAAGCAACAAAUAAUUAAAUAUGAUUGGGUUAUAAGGUAUGGAUGGGGGGUAAUUAGGAGUUGCAGCUAGAGAUGUAUGCAGACAGUAAUAAAAAACCUUCUGUAUCAGGAGGGAGGAGCUAGAUUUGUAUCUUUUUGUAAGGAACACCUGAAGGAUUUUUUAGCAAAAGAGCAGUAAUGUGAUCAGGUUUGAGUUUUUAAAAACCCACACUGGUAGUAUGUGGAGAAUAGAAGUAAAAUUAGAGGCAGGUAGACCAAAUUGUCACGUAAGAAAUGAGUUGCUGAGCUAGGGUAGUCACAGGGCUAAAGAAGAAGCACACCUGAAAGCUGUUGGCACAGUAAAGAUUAACUUAGAGGCAGCUUGUACAGAGGGAGAAACAAUUGUUUAGUAUAGUUUUGAAGUUUCUGAUUAUCUCAAUUUUGUGUGUAGUACCUGGGACUUUUCCUUAUAUAAAGUGUUUUAGGCAAGCUUAGUCGUACAUAAACAUAAGUAAACACUUCUAUAAAACCUUGCAUUCCC
rnacentral:sRNA from 1 species